CAGAUGAUUCAUAACAGGCUGUACUAAGACCAAAAAAACCCCACCAACUGGAGUGGUCAUUAAUUUGUGAGGUGAGCAGGCAGCACUCACCAAGCAAGUGGUGCACUGCCUGUUUCCCAGCCUGCCUUCAAACAUCUGCGCGCCUCAGAAGCAAGUGUAAUGUUAUUCUCCCAAGGUGACCCCCUGCUCUGCACUGCAGAAGAAUGAUGGUGAUGUUACAGGCUGGAAUGGAGUAACAGAAGGUUUGCUGCAUUGGAGUGACUGUGAGCUCUCUGGAGGCUGGGAUGUCUCCUUACGCUCCCUCACUGAAAGUCAGAGCCUCUGUUACAGGGAGCCAUGAGCACAGAGCACGAGCCAUGCAUACUUGCUUCACCCACAGUAAAGCAGUACCUGCAGAAGGCCAGCAGAGGAACAACCC
rnacentral:lncRNA from 1 species